GAUGAAACGCUGGCGGCGUGCCUAACACAUGCAAGUCGAACGGAGUUAUGCAGAGGAAGUUUUCGGAUGGAAUCGGCGUAACUUAGUGGCGGACGGGUGAGUAAACGCGUGGGAAAACCUGCCCUGUACCGGGGGAUAACACUUAGAAAUAGGUGCUAAUACCGCAUAAGCGCACAGCUUCACAUGAAGCAGUGUGAAAAAACUCCGGUGGUACGGAGUGUCC
rnacentral:rRNA from 1 species